rnacentral:lncRNA from 1 species
GGUGACCAAGGUAUCGUCUACAACAUCGGGAUCAGGAGCCGGUAGUGGCUGCUGCUGAGACGUCGAAACAUGUCGGUCUGUAGCAGGCGCAGGAUCAGAGGAAGAAGUACCAGCACGGGGCUCACCGGACAGCCGCAUCACAUGCGCUCUAAGCUCUGCAAUCUGUCUCUGCUGAUCAGCAAGCUGAGCCCGUAUAUCAUCAUCAUAGUGCGAGNNNN